rnacentral:rRNA from 1 species
AUUGAACGCUGGCGGCAGGCCUAACACAUGCAAGUCGGACGAGAGGCGGACGGGUGAGUAAUGUAUGGGGACCUGCCUGAUGGAGGGGGCUAACUACUGGAAACGGUAGAUAAUACCGCAUACCAUCAGAUGAACCCAUAUGGGAGUAGCUUGUAGGUGAGGUAACGGCUCACCGAGGCGACGAUCCCUAGCUGGUCUGAGAGGAUGAGCCGCCACACUGGGACUUAGACACGGCCCAGACUCCUACGUGAGGCAGCAGUGGGGAAUAUUGCACAAUGGGCGCAAGCCUGAUGCAGCCAUGCCGCGUGUAUGAAGAAGGCCUUCGGUUUGUAAAGUACUUUCAGUCGGGAGGCGUUACCGACAGAAGAAGCACCGGCUAACUCCGUGCCAGCAGCCGCGGUAAUAC